rnacentral:rRNA from 1 species
GAUGAACGCUGGCGGCGUGCCUAAUACAUGCAAGUCGAACGAAACUUCUUUAUCACCGAGUGCUUGCACUCACCGAUAAAGAGUUGAGUGGCGAACGGGUGAGUAACACGUGGGCAACCUGCCCAAAAGAGGGGGAUAACACUUGGAAACAGGUGCUAAUACCGCAUAACCAUAGUUACCGCAUGGUAACUAUGUAAAAGCUGGCUAUACUACCGCUUUUGGAUGGGCCCGCGGCGCAUUAGCUAGUUGGUAGGGUAAAGGCUUACCAAGGCAAUGAUGCGUAGCCGAAUUGAGAGGUUGAUCGGCCACAUUGGGACUGAGACACGGCCCAAACUCCUACGGGAGGCAGCAGUAGGGAAUCUUCCACAAUGGGCGAAAGCCUGAUGGAGCAACGCCGCGUGGGUGAAGAAGGUCUUCGGAUCGUAAAACCCUGUUGUUAGAGAAGAAAGUGCGUGAGAGUAACUGUUCACGUUUCGACGGUAUCUAACCAGAAAGCCACGGCUAACUACGUG